UGUGUGUGUGUGUGUGUGUGUGUGUGUGAAGAGAGAGAGGGUGGGAGAGAAAGAGAUAGAUAGAGAGAGAGAGAGAGUGGGAGACAGAGAGAGAGAUACAGAGAUAGAGAGAUCGUGCGUGUGUCUGUGUGCACGUGGAUGAAUGAAUGUAUGUGUUCUUAUUAUUUCUCUGUUACCAAUGAUAAUAUUAGUAAACCUCCAUGUUGAUUAGACCAUAAAUAAAUCAACGCUUUCUUACUAAUUUGCUAAUAGAAAUUACUAAAUCAAUCAUAAAGGUAGUUAGCAGAAUUUUUUAACAUCUUCCUAUCCGGUUAUUUUUUUUCUCACACGUUAUAUCAUUGUCAUACAUGUCAGUCAUCCACAGGCAUGUUGCGAGCAUGCUAUGCACGCUAAUCACCUCGUUAUACACCCCAUACACAUAGUAUAUAUGCUAUACACGUAUGUCAUGCAUCAUCAUGCUUACUGAAGUCCUGCGAUGAAAAGGACACGCAAAUUUCCAGCAUUUUCUGCUCUUUCACCCAUUCGGCUUGCCUCAGUUCCUCGGAUCUUUUUCUUUGAACGUCAUGCAUGCCCUCUGUCAUGAGGUCUGGCUUUGUGGUUAUAACAUAUCAUGAAAGUGGUGUCAUUUCUGAUAGCUCUAGCGGUUCUCAUCUUAUUUCUAACUUCAUUAGUCUUUAAGGAAAUCUCUUUCUGAAUACAGUCGGUGAUAAACAUGAUUAGCUUCUACACCAAAUGUACCUAUAUAUACUAUAUUUAUAUUACUGUGUAAGUUCUAAAUCGUUAUACUUGUUAUAGAAGAGAUUUAAUUUUGGUUACCCGCAUCCUUGCAAUCAGAAUUAUAUUGAAAUUUAAGAAAGAAAGUAAGACAAAAACACUGCACAGCUGUUUUAUAAACUAUCUUACCCCGAGGCAGUUGUGUGCUCGCUGCGAUGACCAUGGCUAAGCAACUCCCCUUGUUAAUGCACAGACCUCCAAAGACUUUUCCGGGGAAGAAUUCUGAUCGUGACUUCUUGCCGUUCAGUGGACGAGGAACGAGAACACUUUCCAAAGAACGGAAAUGUAUUUAAGAGUGCACAGUCUCCUCGCACACGCAUGCACUUCGAUCACUCUCCUGAACUUAUCCCUGACUUCGUUUGACCUUCUUCCCGAGCGAGGUCACUGAACCCUCUCUUCCAGGCAACAACUUCCAAAAAAAAAAAAAAAA